GAUGAACGCUGGCGGCGUGCCUAAUACAUGCAAGUCGAGCGAAUGGAUUAAGAGCUUGCUCUUAUGAAGUUAGCGGCGGACGGGUGAGUAACACGUGGGUAACCUGCCCAUAAGACUGGGAUAACUCCGGGAAACCGGGGCUAAUACCGGAUAAUAUUUUGAACUGCAUGGUUCGAAAUUGAAAGGCGGCUUCGGCUGUCACUUAUGGAUGGACCCGCGUCGCAUUAGCUAGUUGGUGAGGUAACGGCUCACCAAGGCAACGAUGCGUAGCCGACCUGAGAGGGUGAUCGGCCACACUGGGACUGAGACACGGCCCAGACUCCUACGGGAGGCAGCAGUAGGGAAUCUUCCGCAAUGGACGAAAGUCUGACGGAGCAACGCCGCGUGAGUGAUGAAGGCUUUCGGGUCGUAAAACUCUGUUGUUAGGGAAGAACAAGUGCUAGUUGAAUAAGCUGGCACCUUGACGGUACCUAACCAGAAAGCCACGGCUAACUACGUGCCAGCAGCAGCCGCGG
rnacentral:rRNA from 1 species